UACAGAGGGUGCGAGCGUUAAUCGGAAUUACUGGGCGUAAAGCGUGCGUAGGUGGUUCGUUGUGUCUGUGGUGAAAGCCCCGGGCUUAACCUGGGAAUGGCCAUGGAAACUGGCGAGCUGGAGUGUGGCAGAGGGGGGUGGAAUUCCGCGUGUAGCAGUGAAAUGCGUAGAGAUGCGGAGGAACACCGAUGGCGAAGGCAGCCCCCUGGGCUAACACUGACGCUGAGGCACGAAAGCGUGGGGAGCAAACAGG
rnacentral:rRNA from 1 species